AAGCAGUCCGCUCGGCCGCGGCCGCACGGGGCGGCGAGGCUGGGGCGCUGGCGCCGCGCCAGCCCCGUCAGAAUUAGCUCAUUGUUCGCCGGCACGCUGGCGGCGGGGAGGGGGGCUCCUGGAGAAAGACACACACUUGGAGAGCGCGAGGCAGGGAGACCUUCCCCUCCUUCGUCCCCACGGCCGCACUUCUUGGAAGUGAAGCCGGUUUGGGUUUUGCUUCCCUUCCCCCUCCUCUCUCCUCUCCCUCCACCCCUUUCCCCUCCCCCUCCCCCCCCAGCUGUCUUUCGAGCAUGAUGCCCUUUUUCAUCCCCAUUUGUGUUUCAGGUGUAGAGAGGAGAGAGUGAGCAGGGAGCGGGGCUUUUGUCUGUUUAUUACCCAGAGCUCUCUGUCUGGGUCAGUCAAGAACCAUUUCCAAAUAAGGAAAUGGAGGGGAGGCUUCCUAAGAAACUGUCCUCAGAAACCUGACUCUGGGGAAUGCUGCCUCCCACAUGGCUGGGCACAGCCAUUAGAGAAGCACUCGAUUCUCCCGAAGCCAAGCCAGUGAGUGUUUAAUUACUUCAUGCCCCCACAGACCUAAUAUUUACAUUCAGGGGAACUGUGUUUAAUAUGUAAACUCUGUUUGCAAAACAUCUGGAGUUCAAGGAUAAAAGGCGGGAGGGAGAAGCAAAAAACUUCAAAUGGCUUCAGAAGCAUGACUAAGUGUCUUUUGUGUGUGUGGGUCCACCUGCUUUUCAGGGAAGACUUCCUGUCCCAAAGGAAGUGAACCGCAAGAAGGAUGAGCAGAUUGAGGCCGCCUCCCUGACUCCACCUGGCAGCAGUGAACUCCACUCCCCAGGCAUCGGUUACCUCCACUCUUUUUAAUCGUCACACCUCCAUCUGUAUUACAUAUGGUGUAUGGGUAUUGAUGAGGUCAUGGUAUCAUAUAUGGGAUUUUUUUCUGUGUAAAUCAUCAAGUAUAAGAAGAAACUAUGGGACUCUGAGCCUUGCUUUAGAGAAUUUACAGUGGACAAAUAGGUAUCAUCAAUCCAGUUUUUAAUCAUUCUGACUCAAGUGAAACCGCUCAGAAUUUCACACUGUGAAUCCACGUUUACAACCCUUACAGGUGGGCCUUCAGGCCUGGUUCUCGACAACGAUGUCUUCCACAACUCAAACUCCCUCUGCUCUCACACAACCGGUCCACUCCUGUCUUUUCACUCACACAGCUCCCGACUGCUUCUCGCAGAGGCUGAGAGUCCCCCUUUUUUUUUUCAUUUAGAUGUAACAAGCCUAGUAGUUUAUGUUCAUCAAUUGUCUGUAUAUCUAUAUUUUAUCCAUGUACUCUUUUGAUGUAUAGAAGUAGUUUGAAACUCAUCGUUUCCUUGUGGUAAGUGACCGAGAUGCUGCCACAGGACCUGAGACACUGAUGAAUGGUGCUAUUUUGGACUUUCAACAUGCUCCUUGGCGAGGUAGCUCUGAUGGAGUUAUAUUUUAUUUCCAUGUUCUAAGAAGGUGUUGGUACUCUGUUUCCCUGAAUGUUGUUCUCUAGACUGGAUUGACUUGUUUUCCUCGUGUCUUCAGUGUGGCUUUCUUCUUCAGCGUUGUAGGUUGAGUGAACGCUACCAGAGAGAGUAAGAGACUCACGUCUCGCCGGCUGGCACUCACGGCCAUGCAGUCCCUGUAGCGGGAGCAAUCACAAAACUGUAAUUUACUUACCAAAUCUCUUCUUUCCGGUAGCCUCGCCUGCCUAGCUUACAGAAAGAAAAGCAAUAAUUUGACAGGCGUUUUUAGGUGUCUCUUUUGGUUCUUUUUGUUUGAAAGAAUAUUUGGGGGAAAAAAAGGGCAAACGUUUCAAAUAAACGCCCUGUGGGGAAAAAAAAUCCA
rnacentral:lncRNA from 1 species